rnacentral:rRNA from 1 species
CAAGACAUGAAGUCAGGUCAGCAAACCCGCUGAAUUUAAGCAUAUAAGUAAGCGGAGGAAAAGAAACUAAAUAGGAUUCCCUUAGUAAUGGCGAAUGAACAGGGAAAUCAC